rnacentral:rRNA from 1 species
UUACUGAGUGAGGGUCCCUCGGGGCCCAACCUCCCACCCGUGUAUACCGUACCUUGUUGCUUCGGCGGGCCCGCCGCGCAAGCGGCCGCCGGGGGGGCGUCAAACCCCCCUCCCUAGGCGAGCGCCCGCCGGAGACACCAACGUGAACACUGUCUGAAGUUUUGUUGUCUGAGUUCGAUUGUAUCGCAAUCAGUUAAAACUUUCAACAAUGGAUCUCUUGGUUCCGGCAUCGAUGAAGAACGCAGCGAAAUGCGAUAAUUAAUGUGAAUUGCAGAAUUCAGUGAAUCAUCGAGUCUUUGAACGCACAUUGCACCCCCUGGUAUUCCGGGGGGUAUGCCUGUCCGAGCGUCAUUGCUGCCCUCAAGCACGGCUUGUGUGUUGGGUCGUCGUCCCCCCCGGGGACGGGCCCGAAAGGCAGCGGCGGCACCGCGUCCGGUCCUCGAGCGUAUGGGGCUUUGUCACCCGCUCUUGUAGGCCCGGCCGGCGCUGGCCGACGCUGAAAAGCAACCAACUAUUUCUCCAGGUUGACCUCGGAUCAGGUAGGGAUACCCGCUGAACUUAAGCAUAUC